AGGCCUGUGCUGCUGUGUGACUACAGCAGUGGUUACAAACUCACAUUUGGAUCUGGGACAAGACUUCUGGUUUCACCAGAGGUCACUCCAUCGCCUUCAGUCUACAGGCUGACUUCUAAAGAUGAUGAAGACCUGGAAAUGUGCCUCAUCACAGAUUACUCCCCUGAGAGGCUCACUCUUGACUUCACUGACAAGCAGACCAGUGCUGUCGUGGAGGUGGCAACGGAGCACGAGCAGGAAGCCAGCUACCUGUCCACCUACUGGGCCAGGAGAGAGGAGAUGCAGUGUGCUGCCACUCACGAGGGCUUUGGAGAACUGGAGGGGGAGGAUCCUGAAAGUGGUGCCAGCAGUGUCUGUGUUACAGGGAUGGCUCUACACUUCAGGACAGAUGAACACCUGAACAUGCUGUCCUUAUCCCAUCUGGGCCUGAAAAUAAUUCUAAUGAAAGGAAUCAUUUUUAAUGUGCUGAUGACGAUGCUCAUGUGGAAAAAAAAGUGA